rnacentral:tRNA from 1 species
GCAGUGGUGGUUCAGUGGUGGGACCCUUGCCUUUGAUGGGAGACACCCUGGUUUAAUUCCCGGCCAAUGCA